rnacentral:rRNA from 1 species
AUUGAACGCUGGCGGCAGGCCUAACACAUGCCAGUCGAACGGUAACAGGAAACAGCUUGCUGUUUCGCUGACGAGUGGCGGACGGGUGAGUAAUGUCUGGGAAACUGCCUGAUGGAGGGGGAUAACUACUGGAAACGGUAGCUAAUACCGCAUAACGUCGCAAGACCAAAGAGGGGGACCCUCGGGCCUCUUGCCAUCGGAUGUGCCCAGAUGGGCUUAGCCUGUUGGUGGGGUAACGGCUCACCAAGGCGACGAUCCCUAGCUGGUCUGAGAGGAUGACCAGCCACACUGGAACUGAGACACGGUCCAGACUCCUACGGGAGGCAGCAGUGGGGAAUAUUGCACAAUGGGCGCAAGCCUGAUGCAGCCAUGCCGCGUGUAUGAAGAAGGCCUUCGGGUUGUAAAGUACUUUCAGCGGGGAGGAAGGGAGUAAAGUUAAUACCUUUGCUCAUUGACGUUACCCGCAGAAGAAGCACCGGCUAACUCCGUG